UGACAAUUUGCUUCAAACCCAAACAGCUGGCUCUGUGACCCUCCAGGUAACAACAAAUACAAGAACAGGAGGAACAGGAAUAAUUCAAAUCCACAAUAUAUCCAGUUGCUGUUCUAAAUCCUAAGGAUUCUAAGCCUGCAAAGUACUGAAACCCAACUUUCCUGCCAUUUUCAAGGGCCUCUCAUGGAGUUCAGUGGGAAACUGAGGCUCUUGACCCUCUGCUGGACAGGAUCUUAGUGUUGGAAGGAAAUUGCCUGGCAUCUUGUACAACCUGCUAAUGUGCUUGUGCAUUCAUGCACAGCAAUUGAUCUUACAAGCUUCUGAGUGUUCACUGGACUUGCCAUUAUACCAUGAAUAUUUUAUAGCUGCACCACUGUAAUAACAGUAAUUACAUUUGCCCUUUUACAGAACCUUUUAUAUAAGGGUUUCAAGGUGGUUUAUGGAUGGUAAUUAGGCCCCAUGGUCUUCCUGUGGAGUAAGAAUUAUUAUUACCUUUCUGCAAAUGGGGAAGCUGAGGUACAGAAAAUCUGAACUUGACCUUGCCCAAGGUCAUAUCUCAAAUCACUGCCAGGAUGAGGAGAUGAAUUCAAGGAUUCCUGCUCCAAGGUUUCUGUACUUAUUUAUUUGGCUUAGAUUAUGCUUCUAACUGAAGACAAACUUUUAAGCUUAAAACUGUCAAUAUUUUCCAAUUAUUUGGAGUAUCGCACAUUUUUCCUGUUCUGAAGAGUUGCUGUGCCUCCCAUCACAUCCACGUGUCAGAAGGUACUGAGAUGAUUUUGAGGUGCUGCCCCCACAGGCCCUCAUCCUACCCAGAGAUGCCAGUGGGGACCUCACUAAGGAUUAACCCAGGCCUGCAGAAUCCCGGCUUCACAGAAGUAACUGGGAAAUUAUCACUUAAUUCUGCCUGUUCAGAACGUCCUUCAGGGAGUUCAGAGAUACCUUUGGCACUCAGGAAGACACUGUAAUUACUGUAAAUGAUGUAAAAUCCUUUAAGCUAUGAGAGAUUCGACCAGUCUGAUCAAUACCUUGCAAUAACAAGGUUUAGCUUGCUCCUGUGCCUCAGCACCUCUCAGCUUUGAUGCAUUGAGAAUCAUUAGUUUUUAUCCCAUGCAUGUAACAAAUGAAAACCAUGAAUUGGAGUGGACGUGGCAUUUUGAAAACCACAAAGCACUUGAUUUAUUCAAUUUAUGUUUACAUAGGGAUUAUUUCACCCAUCAGUGAAAUGCAGCUGCCUCUGGCUUGGAAAACGUCAGUCUUUAAAAAGAAACAUUGCUAAGUGAAAAGAACUUUAUCUCAUAUAAAACUUGAGGAGGAAUGUAGGCUUGCAGAAUGUAAUUACUCAUUUGGAUUUUAGCCCAGACACCAAAGCUAUCAUUGCCUCUUUAGCAAGAGGAACUUGGAAUCUUAAGUGGUUGCACAUAAUGAAAGCCUUGAUUCUGCAACCUUUUUGGAAAAUAAAAUUACUAUUAGUAGUACAAUGCUUCCCAAAUAUUUGGAUGUAAUUGCACUUAUGAUUUACAUCACACUUUGAACAAGAGAACUCCAGAGGCUCUAUAAAAGUAAAGGUGGCUUUGAUUUCCAGAACAGCCCUGUUCCCUGCUGCUGGAUCUCCACAUUUCAGAGCCUGAAAAAUGUUGUCACAAGGGGAAUAAGUGACUCUGCUCUGGCCCCUGCAUCCAUGCAGAACUUCUCAGUGUUCCAAAAGGGAAGUUUCCUGCAUGGAUUGCUGCCAGCUGCAGGGAUGUGGCACUCAGUAAUGACUGUGACAGCAGGAGCUGCUCUGAAGGAUUGAUUCACCUCACAGCCUAUUGAUUGUGGGGUUUGUAGCAGCAUUUUUAGCACUGGUGUCAAAUCAUGGAUGGAUUUGUGAUAAAACUUCCAGGAUUUUUAGAAGCAGUGAGAUUCCAGAGUGGGCACAUCCGUUUUCUCUGUGAUGUCCAACAUCUGUGCAAUCAUUUCUACCCACAGCAAAAUUGGUGAGGGUGUUCCAGCAGUGAAGAUGUUGUCUUUUUCCUUCUGUAUCCUUGGCAUUUUCAUCAAUUUCUCCAAAGGAUUCUCUGUCUUCCCAGAUUUUGAGCUGUUGCCAGACUGUCAUCUGAAGAUCUGUGUUAUUUUAACAUUGUCCCAAAAAUUGGAGAAGAGAAACCUCAUCCAAAUGGUACUAAACCCCAUAUUUUACAUACUAUGCUCAUUUCAGAAAACCUAUUGAAAAGAUAGGAAGAGAGUUAUGGAGAAAAGAAUGGAAGUUUGUGAGGAAUGACACAUAAAUGAAAAGAAUAAGGGUGUAGAGGUUUUUGUUUAUUUCUUAAACAAGGAGUUUUGGUCUGUCUUAUACUGACAAGACUUUUGGUCAGUGUUACCUUACAAGAUGUUAGAGAGUCUGUUAUGUGGAAUCUCUGUAAUAAUAAUUAAACCCAAAAUAGUUCCCCACAGUUUAUGAUCAGAGAAUCAUAGAAUUAAAGACUAACAGAAUUAAGGAAUCAUGAAAUUAAGAAGUCAUGGAAUGGUUUGUGUUGGAAGGGACCAUAAAAACCAUCUGAUUCCAACCCAGUCAUGGACAACUGGGUCCUGACUGAGGAGGGAAGUUGGGCAACAAGACUCCAGAGGUCCCUUUCAAAGUCAACCUUUCUCUGAUUCUCUGAUGCAGUAAUUCUGUGACUCUAAAUAACUUUCUGCCUUAUGAAACUGAAGAUCUCCAAAAUAAGAUCAGAGAUGUAAAAACAUCUGGCUUUACAGAUUCCCCCCAUCUGUCAGAAGUACAAGUUCUUCUAAGACCAGUUGGUCUGAAAAUUCUCUUUUCAAUGUUUCAAAUGCUUUUUCACCUGGUUUAAAACAUCCUAAACCAAAAGGGUUCUAAUUAUACAUUGCCCCAGGGAAGGAAAAUUGCAGGUUUCCUGCAUCCUGCUGUUGGGUUUUGUGCUGCCCAUCAGAGAGGGGGCAAGAGGUAGAAACAGGUCAGUGUGUGGUGGAGCAGAGAGCAGCAGGUGAGAAAGAAUGACAGAGGAGUCUGAGAAAUUGCUGGUAAUUGUGGUCCAGCCCUUCAAAAAUUCCUGUCAAGAGGCAGAACUAGACACAUUUUGUUUUUCAGUAGUCUCUGAGCCUCUCAUGGUAAUGAGAGAAAAUUGGGGGUUUUCCCCCUCUGCUCUGUAUGUGUUUGUGGCCACAUUGCAUAGGGAGGAAGGAGCUGUUUGUUUCCUUACCAAUUGAUAUUUGAAAUCUUCUCCCCUUUUAACAAACUCAUUCAUCUUCACAGCACCUUUGCUACCAGGCAAUUUCUACAAAUCAAGCUGAACAUUCGAUCUGUGUUGUUUUUAAUGAUCUUUCUUGCCAAUAUUUAUAAUGUGCUUUGAAAGCUGAGGCAGACCAUGGGCUAGAUAUUUAAUAUUAAUUAAUUUGUCACUCCCCAGAACACGCACAUGCUGAGGAGACGAGUAAACAUGUUUAAUUCUAC